rnacentral:rRNA from 1 species
UGAGGAAUAUUGGUCAAUGGCCGAGAGGCUGAACCAGCCAAGUCGCGUGAGGGAAGACGGCCCUACGGGUUGUAAACCUCUUUUGCCGGGGAGCAACGUGCGGAUCGCGAUCCGCGAUGAGAGUACCCGGAGAAAAAGCAUCGGCUAACUCCGUGCCAGCAGCCGCGGUAAUACGGAGGAUGCGAGCGUUAUCCGGAUUUAUUGGGUUUAAAGGGUGCGCAGGCGGAGGCGCAAGUCAGCGGUAAAAGUCGCGGGGCUCAACCCCGCUCCGCCGUUGAAACUGUGUCCCUUGAGUGCGCGAAGGGCAGGCGGAAUGCGUGGUGUAGCGGUGAAAUGCAUAGAUAUCACGCAGAACUCCGAUCGCGAAGGCAGCCUGCCGGCGCGCAACUGACGCUCAUGCACGAAAGCGUGGGUAUCGAACAGGAUUAGAUACC